rnacentral:rRNA from 1 species
CCUACGGACGGCAGCAGUGGGGAAUAUUGGACAAUGGGGGGAACCCUGAUCCAGCCAUGCCGCGUGUGUGAAGAAGGCCCUCGGGUUGUAAAGCACUUUCAGUGAGGAAGAACGCCUGGUGGUUAAUACCCAUCAGGAAAGACAUCACUCACAGAAGAAGCACCGGCUAACUCCGUGCCAGCAGCCGCGGUAAUACGGAGGGUGCGAGCGUUAAUCGGAAUUACUGGGCGUAAAGCGCGCGUAGGUGGCUUGAUAAGCCGGUUGUGAAAGCCCCGGGCUCAACCUGGGAACGGCAUCCGGAACUGUCAAGCUAGAGUGCAGGAGAGGAAGGUAGAAUUCCCGGUGUAGCGGUGAAAUGCGUAGAGAUCGGGAGGAAUACCAGUGGCGAAGGCGGCCUUCUGGACUGACACUGACACUGAGGUGCGAAAGCGUGGGUAGCAAACAGGAUUAGAUACCCCUGUAGUC